GGAAGGAUCAUUAACACAAUGUCCAUUUGGUGAUCCCGUAGAAUGUCGUGACUCCUUGAAAAAGGGUCAUCUUCUACAAUGGGAUCCAUCAAACCACAUAGCAAAUUGUUGAAGUCUUCAACAUUAUUAUUAUUAUUAUUUACAAACUUUGUUUGUUUGAAUAAUACAAUUUCAAUAUUGUACUAUAAAAUACAUCAUAUAUACUGUCCUAUGUUUAUCAUAGAAACAGGAAAAUGAAAAAAAAAACCAAGACAACUUUUAACAACGGAUACCUUGGUUCCCCGAUCGAUGAAGAACGCAGCAAAAUGCGAUACGUCAUGUGAAUUGCAGAAUUCUGUGAAUCAUCGAAUCUUUGAACGCAAAUUGUGCUUCUGGGUAUUCCUAGAAGCGUGUUUGUUUGAGUGUCGACCAUAAAUUAUCAUACAAAAGCAAUUUUGUGUGUAGAUGAAAGUUCACCAUUUAAACUGUGAUCUUUUUAAAUUCAUGUGAAUAGGAUAGGAUUGCAACCUCAGUGCAAAAAUCUUCACAAAACUGCACUAAACACUUUUGUGUAUUAUUAUGGUUUUGUGUAUUUUUGUUACGGUUGUAUUAAUAAUCUUAACCAAUUAAUAUUCACUCUUAAUUAAAAAUUUAAUUAAACUCUCGACCUCAAAUCAAGCAAGGCUACCCGCUGAAUUUAAGCAUAUUAAUAAGCGGAGGAAAAGAAACUAACUAGGAUGCCCCCAGUAACGGCGAGUGAAGCGGGCAAAGCUCAAAUUUAAAAUCUGCGCCCUCUUGGGGUUGCCGAAUUGUAGUUUUCCGAUCGGUCAUCACGGGGUCAUCGUCGGGGUGUAAAUGGUUACCACGAACAACCUAUCAUAGAGGGUGAAAGUCCCGUAUGUAACCUCGGCGGUGGUUCAACAGGUGUUGGUCUUUCGAUGAGUCGGGUUGUUUGGGAAUGCAGCCCUAAAGGGUGGUAGAUUUCAUCCAAAGCUAAAUAUUUCGGGGAGACCGAUAGCGAAGAAGUACUGUGAAGGAAAGGUGAAAAGAACUUUGAAAAGAGAGUUAAAAGUGCUUGAAAUUGUUAAAAGGGAAGCGUAUGGAACCGGUGAUUGUGCCAGUUCGGUUCAGAUAUCCAAGGUUGGCCUUGCGGGAGUCACGGAGGCGAUUUCGUCACGGAGACCCCGGAGUAAAGACCGAGGAUAUUGUAUUUCGUUCUGGUACGCGUCAACGUCAGAUCGAUGGGGCGGAAAAAGGUUCAUUGGAGGUGGCGAGUUGGCAGGCUCGAUCUGUCAGUCUCGUGUCUAACUUUGAGCAAAUACGUUCUGUCGGACUGAGGAAGAAAACGCGAGUUUGGGCUUCGGCUCGAGCGGGGUAUCUUAUGGACCCGUCAGGGUGGCGGUGGUAGACAUCUACAUUAUUGCAGUGUCUACUGCUGGUCAUCACGGCAAAGUUUGACCACCUUCGCGUUAGGGAUCGUUGGCGAAAAGGUUUCAUCCGACCCGUCUUGAAACACGGACCAAGGAGUCUAACAUGUAUGCGAGUAUUUGGGUGGAAAACCCACGUGCGUAACGAAAGUGAGUUGUGGGAAGCGGGUUCCUCGGGACCUUGCCGCACCACAGACCGGUCUUUCUUAGGAUGGAUUCGAGUUGGAGCACACAUGAUGGGACCCGAAAGAUGGUGAACUAUGCCUGAGCAGGGCGAAGCCAGAGGAAACUCUGGUGGAGGCUCGUAGCGAUACUGACGUGCAAAUCGUUCGUCUGACUUGGGUAUAGGGGCGAAAGACUAAUCGAACCAUCUGGUAGCUGGUUCACAC
rnacentral:misc_RNA from 1 species